UUCUAAAACCCGGAUCUGGAAACUCGGUGUCCUGCAAAAUAAUCGAUAAAACGCUGAAAACGUCAACAGAGUCUUCAGUCGUCAUUGCAGAUGUUUUCUUUCCUGCCACCUCCCCUUGGCUGGCCGCGUUUGUCGUGAUCCUCCUCUUGAGCAUAUUGCUGGUUAUUGCUGCAACGUAUAAACUCAGGAAGAACAACAAGACAAC